GUGACAACGUGGAGUCGCCAAAGUACGGAUGAAAAUCCUUACUUUCUCGCGAAAUACUCAAAUUUUCACCGCACUCACACAACGUGUUCACUCGUUGAAGGUUUCACCAGAAGUGGCAUUCAUCCUUGACAGCUCAGUGAGAGCGAGCCUACUCGAGCGUCUGGUCCCCAAUUUGGGGCGGUCUGUUCUCCAUGUUAGGAGCAGCUGAUUACCGUCCUUGUCUAAACAGUGCUGACACGAUGGCGCUCCGGCGAGACAGGAGGUUGGUGCAGGCCUAACAAGCCGAACAAGAAAGAACGAGUCGAGGAACGACUCGGAAUAAUCGGCAAAGACCUACGCAACGAACAAAGGACCACGAUUGGAAGCUUAGCAAAUGGAACUGCAAAUCGCUUGGCUUCCCAGGAUACAACCGAAUGCUGCAUGAUGAGCUUCAAAUGCGCGGCUUCGAAAUCGUAGCACUGCAGAAACUUUGUUGGACAGGAUAGAAGGAGUAAAAAGUGAGCAGCGAGCGGCUACCUUCUACCAGAGCUGUGGCACAAACAGCGUUCUACAAUGCGUAAACUUUGCAGCCUCCCGGAGAAUGUUCGAAGCACCUUCUUCCCCGCAAAGAUAUCCACAAAGCCACCUGGAGAUCACCUGAUCAACGGAAAAUCAAAUCGACCACGUUCUCAUCGACUGGCGUUUCUUCUCCGACGUCAUCAAUAUCCGCACUUACCGCAGUGCCAACAUUGAUUCUAACCACUACCUUGUCGCGGUUUGUUUGCGCUCAAAACUAUCGACGGUACACAACACUCGUCGCACAGGAACGCCGGGACUCAACCUAGAGCAGCUACGUAGCGUUCGUACUGCAGAGGAAUACGCGCAACAACUGGAGCAAGUGCUACCAACGGAAGAGAAGCUUGGCGCGGCGACUCUUGAAGAUGACUGGAGGAACAUAAGGUCCGCCGUGAGUAGCACUGCUGCAACCGUACUAAUGUCAGCAGUUGGUCGAAGAGAAGAAUGCAGCAAGGGCGAGGAUGCUGCAACACCGCACGAAAGUAAAGGAGGAACGAUACAGACAGGCGUGGAACAGGAACAGACAGAACACGGGUUUCCGGUGGAAAAAGCGCCACUAGGAAGACAAAUAUGCCAUUUUAAAAUCUGUGUUUCAACUUGAAAAAUCUGUGUUGUAUAUUUUCGAUCAUAAUCUGUGAAAAACAUUUUGAAAAUCUGUCAUUUUUAUGAAAUAUAUUCAUAAAAAUUU